UUAUUCCAUUACAGAUGACAACGAAGUACAAGGCAUGGCAAUCCAAGUGAAGAUAAGCUACAAGUGAUCCUAUAUACACAAAUUAAUCGAGAGGCUUGUAUCACCAAGGCAUGAAUCUUUUGGUGAAUUUGAAGGUUGAAGAUUUGGCACUAAUCUCUGCGUGGUUGCUUGUCGAUCCAGCCAAUGGAGUAGCUGAAUUUGAUAUCUCUCUGGCUGGUUCAGUCUCCUCACAAUGCUCAUUGCUUUCUCCUCUGUGACCAUAUCAAUCACUCUAAAACAUUAGCAUAUUGGAUCAAUCCAACCAAUUCGACACUCUAAAAGUUCUCGAGAGUAUUACCUUUGAUCUGGCUGUCGAUUUGACCAAAGGUGAACCAUCUGGUUUGAUAUCUCUCUGGCUGAAAAUUCUGGCAUCUUGAGCUUUUCUAACCUCGGAUCUUUGUAUUUGCAAGAAAUUCCUGCAUUCCCAGCCUUUUUUGGAUGCUCUGUCUGUUUUGCAGAGACGGUCUCCCAUCCAUCCAACUCACUCUCGGUACAGCCCUUUUUUCCCUUCAGAACACCAUCGAGUGAUUUGUUUGUUGAUGUCAGCCAAUUCUCCUCUAGAAUAGAUCCUUUAUGCGACCUAGAUGCUUGGUCAUGCUGCAAUAACACAUUGCACGAGAUCAAGUGUAAAGAGGGAAUAAACAAGCCAUUCGCAUUUUUGCAGGAAUAACAAGGGGAGGAAUAGUGAAUCUUUGUUCCCUUGGUGGUCAAUCAUUUAUGGCAGCUUAAACUUUCGAGAAAAGAAAAAACUAAACAAUUUGUCUAACACGGUUAAUUAGUCAUUGCAUUCUGCUAGUCUUUUCUAUCUUGUCCAAAAGUACAAAAUGGGUGCCAUUAACUCAAACCACCCAGGUAAUUUUAAAAAAGCACAAUGUCAAAAAAAUUAAUACUUAGACACAAUGGGUAUAGAACCUUCUUUUACCUUUGCUAUGGCUAUUGAUUCAUCCAAAGGUAUAUAUACUGAUUUACUAUUUCUGGCUGCCAGAUCUUCCUUUCUAAACUUUUCAAGUCUCGGUUGUUCACCUUUGCAGUAAUUUCUUACACCCUCAUGCCUUCUUGGAAGCUCCGUAUGUUUUGUGGAGGAGACAUGUAAGCUGUCACACUUAUUCUUGUCGAAGCCUUUCUUUUUGUGCGGAGGAGCAACUCCAUUGAGAGGUUCAACUGUUCCAAUUCGCACAUUAUCCACUAGCGCAACAUGUUCAUUAUGCAACUGCAACAAGACAUUGCAUGAAUGAGAUCAACUGUAUCAGAAGAAAUAACUAAGGUGUAGUGCACGCUCAAUCUCCUGACCCAUGGGGGCUUUCAUUUUAGAAGUGCAUGGAGCCUGCUACAUUUUGAGCUUUUCACUUCUUUGUGAUGACCAUCUUUGAUGUAUCGUGCUACUUUGGUUUAUGUUACAAGGAAGCAACAGAAAAUGAAGAAACAAACAACAUGCUUCUCUUACCUUUGCUUUGGCAGCCGGGUCAUCCAAUAAUACACAGUUUGGUUUGAUAUUUCUGGCUGCAAGUUCUUGCUUUUUGACCUCAAAAAACCCCAUCUUAUCACCUUUGCUAUAAAUUCUUACAGUUGCAGGCUUUUCCAGAGGAUCCAUACGUUUUGGGGGAAAGACAUUUGAGCAGUUGGACUCAUUCCCAUCAAAGCUUUUCUUUUCCUCUGGAAGAACUUCUCCACAUCCACAAGGUAGUUCAAUUGCUAGUGUUUGCCCAGUCUCCUCCAUAGCAUUUUUGUUCUGUGAGCUAGAUGUUUGGCCAUGGAGAGUUUCAAUUGUUGGUGUCUGCCAAUUCUCCACCAUAGCAUGAGCAUUACGUGAGCUGGAUGUUUGGCCAUACUGCAACCAACAUAUUGCUUGAGAUCAAUUGAACCAGAGGAGCUGACUAAGGCAUGAUCCUGGUCUUAUGACAAACAUUAGUGGUUUCAUUUCUAAAGUUGUCUGGAAGCUAUAUUACAUUAUGAUUUUCCGCUUCUUUGCAUGGUCUUGUUUGUUAUUUCGGGGCAUUAACAAGCAAAUCCCAAUAAGCACGUUUUGCAAAACUAACCAGUGGAGGAACCAUGGAAAUCUUUGUGCAGUCAGUGAUUGUUCCUCUCAAGUUAGGCAUUGAAUUUGGUUUCUCUAUGGCUAGUUCAAUUCCUUUGUUGUGAUUGUUCUGUGGUGAUUUUGAUGCAGCACGGUGCUCUCUGCUUUCUCCUAACUCCCAAUGUUUGUAAAACAUUCUAUCUUAUAUGCUUAUACAGAAGCAAAUAAUUAAAUCAACUGGAGACUCUUGAAACUUAGAAUUGUCCUAGUCUUUUAUUUCGAAUUUCGCUAAGAAUAUGAAAACCUUGCCAUUAACUUUACCAGCAAACUCAAUGCAAAAAAUCCUAACUUGAAAUUAAUAAUAAGACAUUACGAGUGAAUUUAGAAGCUUGUUUCACCUUUACUUUGGCUUCUAAUUCAUCCAGAGUAACACAUUCUGGUUUGAUAUUUCUGGCUGCAAGUUCCAGCUUCUCCACCUUUUCGACCCUCGAUUCUUCAUCAGUGCUGUAAGUUCUUGCAAUUUCAGGCUUUUUUGGAGGCUUCAUAUGCUUCGGGGAGGAGAUAUGUAACCCAUUGAACUUAUGUUCAAUGAACCCUUUCUUUUCAUCUAGUGAAACUACACCAUGGAGUGAUUCGAUCAUUUUUGCUCGCUGACUCUUCAUCAGAACAGCAUGUUCAUCAUCUGAGCUACAUUUUGGGCCAUACUGCAAUGCAGGAGAAACACAUCGAAGGAAAAUAAAUGGCUGAGGCAUAAUCUUAAACAGUAAAGCUCAUGACGAACAUCCAAAUUUUCAUUUAAAAUGUGUCUGGAAGCUGUAUUAUAUGUUGAUAUGUUCCGCUUCACUUCUCUGAUGUGAUAUUAUUUAAUCUGGCAACAUUCUUCUUUGGCGGUUUUUUUGCCAUUCUGGUACCUAUCCAAUUGAAGGCUAAUAGGGCACGAGGAAUUUCCCUGAAAUCUCUCUUUUCUAUGUAAGUUUUUCUUCUCUAAAUUUAAUAAAGGUGAACAAGCUGUAUAACCAACCGAAACUUCAGGAGCAGAAUUUUGACCUGUGUUUGAAUUUGAUCUCUGUCAAUGUAGCCGACUUGCAACUGGUUGGAUUCAUCAAUAUAAACAACUACAUCAUCAUCCCACGAGAGGUCCGCAAAAGAUGGACUUCCGAUAUUUCUAACAUGUAAGUCGGUUUGGGAGUCAACAUUUUCUGAUUGGAAAGAAGCCUGCGGGAGAAUUGAUGUAAUGACUUGAACUCGGUUGUCCUGCUGAAGUGAGGGCUCCGUUGCUGAGUCUACCAGAAUCCAUGACUGUUUUGAAAAGUAAAUAGGUUAAUUAUGGACAUACUUCACAAAUCAUGUCCAUGAACAAAACAUUUUUUUCGUUCUCACUUCUGGACAGGAGUUCUCAUGUUCAGGUUGACGAAAGUCUGACUGCAAGUCAACCAAGCUAAUUGAUGAGUUUUCCACUGCCUGAAUCAAAGGCUGUUUUCAAAAGUAAAAAAGGCUAGUUAUGGACAUGCUUCACAAAUUAUACCAUGAACAGAACAUUUUUUUCAUUCUCACUUCCGGAAAUAAGUUCUCAUGUUCAGGUUGAUGAAGGUUUGUAUCCAAGUCAUCCAAGCUAAUUGAUGAGUUUCCAACUGCCUCACUCCAUGUCUGUUUUCAAAACAAGGAAGAUUAGUAUGGAACAUGCUUCACAAAAUAUGCCCAUGAACAGAACAUUUUUUCUUUCUCACUUCUGGAAAUGAGUUAUUGUGUUCAGGUUGAUGAAGGCCUGAAUCCAAGUCCAUCAAGCUAAUGGCUCCACCAUUUAAUUGCUGGGCUGAAAAAUCAGACUCUUCAUUUCCUUGGUGCUUUAAGUGACAGACGACGUAGUUCUUGGUCCGCUGUCAAACAAUCAUGUUAUUGGAAUCCAUAAGACCUAAUCUCAUACUACUUAAAUUCCAGAAUCCUACUCCAUUACAAACUUCGACAAUGGAAAAUGAGGAAGAACAGAAUCAUUGCUUUUGGCUAAUUGAAACUUUUGAAUUGGAUGGUUCUGCAGAUUAUUACAAUACUCAAAUGAAUGUAGUAAACCAGAAGAAAUGAACGAGGGACUGAUUGCAUACAGCAUGUGGAAACAGUUCAUUGAGAUUGUUGGUCAGUAGAUGAUACUCGUGGAUGACCCAUUUGGUCCCGAUGCCCCUUUUGCCGUGACCCCUAUGAAAGACCAGUGUUUUCUUAGUACCAAUCUUUCUGUUCCUGUCUCCAGCCUUGAUAGUCCUAUCAAUACCAGUCUUCUUCCAAAAUCCCAAUGGAGUCGAUCUUUGAAUUCGUGGCGUUUGUGGACAGAAGAACCACCACUCUUGAACUUUGUCGUCAGGAGGAACGAUUGAUUUCUCUGUCAAGUACAAUUUGAAUCUAAUUAAUGAUGAACUUAUCCCUUUCUUUUCCUACGGCCAAAAGAUGCAUAGUGAACUGUACACAGUCAAACUUCGAUUCCAUCAGCAAAUUCCGCAAAACAUUCACUGAUUCAUAGACUAUUUUACUGCGAUCGUCACAGAACUCUAGGACAACAUGAUGCCUCAUUUAUAAGUACGAGGUAUCCAUUACGAUGCCAUAACUGGCGAAAAACGGACAGGAAAAAAUGAUAGCAGCGUCUCGUUCUUUACCCUCGAAUAUUUUUGGUAAUUCCCAAGGCUCCCACUUGCAGAUAUCGACCUCGGGAAUGAUGCAUAUGUUGCCUCUGGAUCCGAGCACUUUCAGCUUCAAGUAAUGAUCGACCAAUUCCUCAUCGGUCGGGUGGAACCUGUAUCCGAUCGGCAGAUUGUUUGGGAUGAUCACAGCUGCCAUCUUCUUCUACUUCUGUUACUUCCCUCGCGCGAGGGCGAAUUUACCAAAGUUCUGGGAAAACAGAAUGAACGAGCUUCAAGGCCUCGCGCUUUAAGUCUUCAUCAAAGUCUUUCCCUUCUCUGAGAAGUUGCCUCAUUUUUUUUUCUGCUCUUUUGGGUUUGCCGGUGGAAUUCCACCCUAUCGCUUAAGGACUUUUCAAAGAUUCUCCUAUCGCUCUCAAACGUCACACUAUCCACUAGAACUCUGUCCUAACUUUCUGCAUCACGUAGAAAGCCUUUGUUAUUUAUUUUCUCUUUAUUGACAAAAGUAUAAACAAUGUAAUUAUAAUACCUUGACCAAGUCAAGAGUGGUUCUGGAGAAAAAAGAAAGAAAGGAUAAGAAAAGAAAUAGCUUGAAAAGUCUACAAAAGGGGAAAAAUUGGUGCGUUGAGAUGUCAUUUUUAAAAAAAAUAACGAUAUUUUCUGGUGUUGGCUCAAAUGGGUUGGAAAUCCUUUCUCACCCUUUGGUAUGGAAAUGGCUUUUUGCCUAUGGAUUUUACUUCCAAAUGACUUGCUAGGCUGAUGGUGGUUUUUGAGAUCUAGUUUACUUACUUUUCCUGGUCCAGCUCACAAUUUCCCAUUUCCUCUUUCUUUCUUCCUCCUCUGCUUCCCUCUUUUCUUCUUCCUUCCUGUUUAUGUUGCGGCACUGUGAAGUCCAACGCCUCAAAUCCAGUCGCAACCCAACAACGGUGGCCAUGGGAUUAGCUUAGAAGUCGAUCUUGAUCUCUAAGGUGAUUUCGAUGUAUUAGCCUUAUAAGUGUAGAUCUUUGAUAUUAGGUAUGUCUGAAGAGGAAUAAAGCAUUUCACAUUGAUAGUUGGCUCAUAACUCCUUUGAAUUAGGGCUCCGACUAUAGCCCCCGUCUCGGAUAUAUCCACAAGAUGAGAUAUCGAAUGCUUGCUGCUCAUCCCAAUAUUGACUAGCUAUAGCCAUACGUAGCUGACCAUGAGUAGUAGUACGCUUGAUGGGCGUGUGCCGAUCAUAGACCACGGGCUCCUACAUGGGCCACACUUCAAUUGUUGACAUUCAUCUAUUUUGGUAGGUAACAUGCGUCGACAAGAAUUUCACGUCGUGUGCGUCAUAUUUGCCAAUUCUCUUCCUUCAACAUGUCUUGACCUGACAAAAAUUUCACUUUUGCUCAUUGUUAUUUACUUAGCUUCGGCUUGGUUUGUUAAAAAUUAGUGCUUCUGAAAAACAUUUUCAGAGAACUCAUUUUUUUUAUAAAAGUAACAAUAUUUAUAGUGGUCGCAUGAAAUUGAGUUGGAAAUCAUUUCUCACCCUUUUUCAUGGAAAAUGGCUCUUUGCUUAUGGAUUUUCCUUCCAAAUGACUCUCACUAGACUGAUGGUGGGUUUUGAGAUUUGUCACACCCCAAAACCAACAAGGGGUAUGACAACAUGAGAAACUUUUAAUCCAACUAUUUAAUAUACAUAUAUAAUCAUAUAUGUGUUAUUUCAUUUCAACAAAUUUUAUUCAAUUUUGAAAAUGCUCAUUUAAAUCAUCCUCACAAUUCAAGCAUCAAUGAUCAAAUUUAUUGAUUAAUCUCUAAUCAAAAACCAUAUAAAUGGUCUAUUCAUAAUCCAUCUUAUAUCAAAAUAUACGCCGAUGGUCUAUCCAUUAAAUAAUCUUUUACUUAAUAGCAAACCAUGAUCACGACAGUGACAACACAACGCCUACUGACAAGGCAAUCAAGAUUCUUUCCUUGGUAAGGUCUCCACUUACAAAUUCAAUGGCUUGACCCAAAAAGAUAUCUUAAACCUUGUAUGCAUACCCACAAGCCUAUCAAUGGACCAACAUCGAUAUUGAACACCAAACCUACAUCCUCCAAUAUCUAGAAAUACAAUCCAUAAAUUAAUCUCAUAAUCCACAUUACAUUUCACAAACCAAUCAUAUAACCUUUGUAAUUCAAUUCAUCUGAAAUUAAUAGUUUUUUUGUAAGCAUUUACAUAUUAUUUCAUAAACCGAAUUCACAAAUUGAUAUGUACAACCUUUUGUAAUGUUUUUCAUAAAAUGCUUCUUAAAUUAUCUUAUAACACAUUCCAUAAAACAAUUCGCAAAGCUAUACAUAUAUAUUAUUUCACAAUACCUUUCAUAAAACCACUCUCGAAUCAUUCUCAAAUAUUAAAAGGGAGUAAUUGUCUAAUCCAGACUUUUAAACAAUAAACAUGCUUGAUUACUCGUAAGAUACUUAAAUCUUUAUCUCUUUCAAGACAUGAGUUUACAAAUCCAUAAAAGAGAUAGCAUUACUCACUUGGAUGUGCCCUUAACCAAAUAACAAGGCACAAUCAAAUUAACGAACUCUCAAUCCUAUCAUAUAAGCAAGAAAUAACAUCAAAACUAAGAGAAACGCUAUAUCAAUUAUGGCACGGCCAAACUAAGCCUAAAUGCCAAUAAAAUAACUCUCACGCAUCAACAAAUCGCUUACUUGAAGCAAUUAUUCAAAUCUAAAUGUAACGUAAAACUUGCUCACAAAACUCUAAAAUUUCGUUCCGACAAAACCGUUGCUUCAAAUGACCAUCAAACCCACUACUUAAAAAUUGGAUUANNNNNNNNNNNNNNNNNNNNNNNNNNNNNNNNNNNNNNNNNNNNNNNNNNNNNNNNNNNNNNNNNNNNNNNNNNNNNNNNNNNNNNNNNNNNNNNNNNNNCAGCUCAAGUUUCCCAAAAUUCCAAUUUCAAGCCUAAACUCAAAACUAUUUGUUGACAUCUGAAUUUUUGUCAACGUUUUAAAUAUCCAUUUAUUUUUCAAAAAUAUAAAAAUUUAUAAAAAAACAGUAAUAAAUGAUAAAAAAAAAAUGAUGAAGUCGUGUGGGCCGUUAUGUCUGGUCCACUUAGCGACUUUCAGCCCUCUAAGGGUGCAUUUGAUCAGUAUUCCCAAAGGGCUUUCAGUCUCUAAAGCCCCUUAAGAAAAUGCUGGACCGUUUGGUAGUCAUUUUGAAAUAACUUUUAAGUGAAAGUCAGUAUUGGAAAAGCUAAAAGCCCAAUGCUAAUAGGAACUAGCUUUGGGCUUUCAGUAUUUUGCCAAAUGCUGAAACUUAUUUUUUUCUUCCAAAAUUAUCUUCACUCAUUCUUUAAAUUUUUUAUUCUGCCAUCGUUAUUAUUUUUAAAAAAACCAAAUAAUGCUAAAAAAAUCACACACACACACACACAGAUAUAAAUUCUAAAACAAUUAAAUAUAUUAGGUCUUCUAAAAAAAUUAUUUAUAUAUUUGAUUUUUUUAGCAUAUGUAUUUGAUUUUUUUUAGUAUUAUUGUCAAAAUUUAUAUUUAAAAAGUUGCAUACAUUAUUUUUUUCAAUUCUAAACAAAUAAAAAUUAAAAAAUUCCGACGAAGAGUUUGCUAUUUUUUUUAAAUUAUAUAUAUAUAUAUAUAUAUAUAUAUAUAUGUAUGUAUGUAUGUAUUUGACUUUUUAGCAUUAUUCUCAAAUUUAUAUUUAAAAAGUUACAUACAUUAUUUUUUCAAUUUUAAACAAAUAAAAGUUAAAAAAUUUCGAUGAAGGAUUUGAUAUUUUUUUUAUUAUAUAUGUAUUUGAUAUUUUUUUUUAGCAUUAUUGUGAAAAUUUAUAUUUAAAAAGUUGCAUACAUAAUUUUUUUCAAUUUUAAGAAAAUAAAAAUUAGAAAAUUCUGAUGAAGGGUUUGGUCUUUUAAAAAAAAAAAUUAUAUAUGUGUUUGAUUUUUUUAGUAUUAUUGUCAAAAUUUAUAUUUAAAAAGUUGCAUACAUCAUUUUUUUUUUCAAUUUUAAACAAAUAAAAUUAAAAAUAUAUAAUAUUAAUCAUCCAUAGAGCUUUUCAAAUGUUUUUUCUACCAAAUAACAUUUCUCUCAAAGAUACUUCUCAAAGCAUAGUUUAUCAAACGACUUUUGUAUUUGCCUAAAGUGCUUUAAGCUAAACUGUUUUGUAUUUUCCUAAUAAGCUUUCAAAAUGUUGAACCAAACGCAUCCUAAGCUUGUUCGCCUCUCUUAUCUUCAUUUCUUUCUUGGAAAAAUGUCAUAAAUGGUCCCUAAACUUCUACUUCAUGUGCAAUCUCGUCUCUGAGCUUUCGAUUUGCUCAAUUUGCUCAUUGAACUAUCGAUAAAUGUCUGAUCUAGUCCUGACUAUUUGAAAAUUGACAAAUUUUGUCAUUUCGUUAGUUAAAGUUAACAUAAUUGGACAUUUUGAUCUUUUUUUUUUCUUCUUCUCUCUUCCCUCCACCGACCAUGGCGGAGCCAGCGGAGGGAAGAGAGAAGAAGAAGAAAAAGACCAAAAUGCCAAAUUCUGUUAACUUUAACUAACGGAAUGACGAAAUUGGUUAAUUUUCAAAUAGUCUGGAUUAGAUCGGAUAUUUAUCGAUAGUUUAUGGACCAAAUUGAGCAAAUUGAAAACUCAGGGACGAGAUUACACAUUAAGUAGAAGUCCAUGGACCAUUUGUGACAUUUUCCCUUCAUUUAUAUACAUUUAUAAUGAUAUGCCGUUUAUAUUAAAAAAAUGUAUAUGAUAUGAUGUGAAUAUAUCCAACUUUAAUACUGCGAUUCAUCAAACAAUGAAUAUGAUAUAAAAGAAUCCCAAAAUAUUAUAUCAUAUCUUAUCCAAUCCUAUUUCGAUUAGAAAUUCGGACGACCAAAUGUAGCCUAUGAGAGAAUGUCUUGGGAAUGUGGGGCUAAAGGAAAAAGGUAAGUGGGGUGAGUUGGAUUAAUUGGGUUGGGUUUGAUUUGGUCUCAUGGGCUGGAAUUUGAGUGGACUACUUUUAUUUUCAUGGGCCAGUUGGGGAUCAAUUCAAAGUGGGCCUUGGCGCAUUUUUUGCCCAACCCGCAUCAAUAGGGUCCAGGUUGGUUUGGUUGGGUUGGGUCUCCUAGCCCGGUCCGAAUUUCUUUUAUAUUAAUAUUAAAAAUACUAAUAUUAAUAAAUAAAUUAAAUAAAUUUUAAAAUUCGGAAAAACGUUAAAAUAUUUGAAAAAUAAAGAAUUCAUGAAAAUUUAUAAAAUUCCGAAAACUAUUAAAAGAAUUUAGAAAAUUUAUAAAAUCAUUACAAAUUCAGAAAAUCCUAAGGAAAAAAUCAGAAAUUUUAGAAAAAAAGGAAAAUCCUUUAAAAGUAUUAAAACCCAAAAUUUAGACAAGCCUUUAGAGCUUUACAAUAAGAUUCUUUAUUUUGGAUUAUCUUUUUUUCCGAAUAAUUCUAGGAUGCUUGUGUUUUUCUUUGUGAUUAUACAUGGUUGCCCUUUUCAAUAUCUUGGAUGUCAUAUUCUUUGUUUUCAAAUGGUCGGAACAAAACCUAAAAUUCUUCAAGCGUUAAUCUUAGGACUAACGUAAUCAAGUUUUCAAGUCUAGAAUCUUUAGUUGCACAAAUAAUAAGAUAUUUUCCUAGGGGUCUAGUCGACACCAAAAUUCUAGUGGCCACUCUUUAGUCAAAUUUAUUCAAAGUGAAUAAAAAUUUGAAAAUAUGUGAGGUAUGAGCUUGGGAGAUCCUGCAUCAAUAAAAGGCUAUCAAUCCAAAAUUAAUAAUACCUCUAAAUCUAAAACUCUUUCUUGGAGGUGUUAAGUUGCGACACUAGUUUAACUAGACGAACGAGGGGGCGUGAGUACUUACUAAGUGUUGCAUUAUGUAAUCGAAUCAACUUGACGAUGUCUCAUUGACAUGCACAUAUAAAAACCCAUUUCUCUUCUUGACCCUUUCCUUUCUUCUUUAUUCCCUCUUCCUUUUUCUCAAACCGCUCGUGGCCACUCUAAGUGAGAGAACUCUCGCUUUAUGCCAUUUUCUCUUCUUUUUUUUUUUUUUUACUUUUCAACCAUUUUUUAUUUAAUCAUUGGAUUUAUCCUAGUGGCCACCAUUCCAUUCCAAUAUGGAAGGAGGAGGUAGGGUAUUCAAAUCCCCAUCUUCUCAAAAGUUCAGGUGUAGACAAUUUAAUUUAGUGUGGGUUUCGACUCACAUUUUACAAUGAGACAAGGUAAAAAUUUGAGAAUAAGAGUAUAAAUAAAAUAAGAUCGAUAAAAAAAAAACCCUUUUUAUUUAUUUAUUUUUAAUAGAAAAGGCACCUCCUCUUUGACUUGGUCAAAGAAAAUGUCCCGCUAUUACAAGAUCUAGUCUACUUACUUUUCCUGGUACAGCUCACGAUUUCCCAUUUCCUCUUUCUUUGUUCCUCCUCUUCUUCCCUCUUUCUUCUUCCUUCCUGUUUAUGUUGCAGCACGGUGAAGUCCAACGCCUCAAAUCCAGUCGCAACCCAACGACGAUGGCCACUGGAUUUGCUUGGACGGUUGUUUUCCAGCAAUGUCUGAGGCGGUAAAAGGUUCUUGGUGUUGGUUCAUGGCCUUUGGCAUCGCGGUCUGGUGGCUAUGGAUUCUUGAUGGUGGUUCCAAGCGAUGGCCAGUGGUGGCGGCGUGACGGAUGGUGGACUGCAGCAGACGAUGAUGGCAGUCGAAACGAUGCGGGUAGUGCGAAAAAUGGAAAAUCCACGGCCGAAUUCCAACUUUUCGGUGACGUCAACUAUCACUUGGGUUGGGCCCAAAGGCCUUGCAAGCCCAUAGCAAAUUGCUGGGCUUGGGCUGAGUUCAAUGAUGAGUGGCGGCCGGCGAUGGUGACGCUGAGGUGGUGGCAUUGUGUGUUUAAUGUUUACAGAGAAGACAGACGGUGGUGAACGAUGGUGUGCUGCCAUGGGAGAAGUGGCAGCGCUUCAGCUUGUUUAGAGUGUUGACAAUCGCGUUAGGUGCAAUUUGAUCUGCACAUGGUGCGCAUAGCUGAGAUGCAGAAUUCAUCGUCAACCAUAAAUGAAGUACGAAGUAAAAAAAAAUGCUUCAGCAUGUUUCGAUUUGUAAAAACAAUUUUAAUGCAAUGACAGAGGUUUGCAGAUUGAUAGCUCUGUCAGAAGAAGCUUCUCGGUUCAGUUUAUCACUUCCGAAACUGGUGAAAGCUUUUAGCAAGAGUUUCCAUUCCAUUUCAGAUGACAACAAAGUACAAGGCAUGGCUAUCCAAAUGAAGAUAAGCUACAAGUUUUCCUUUAUACACAAAUUAAUCGAGAAGUUUGUAUCACCAAGGCAUGAAUCUUUUGGUGAAUUUGAAGGCUGAAGAAUUGGCAGAAAUCUCUGCGUCGUUGCUUGUUGAUCCAGUCAAUGGAGUAGCUGAAAUUGAUAUCUCUCUGGCUGGUUCAGUCUCCUCACAGUGCUCAUUGCUUUCUUCUCUGUGACUAUAUCAAUCACUCUAAAACAUUAGCAUAAUGGAUCAAUCCAACCAAUUCAAUACUCUACAAGUUCUCAAGAGUUUUACCUUUGAUCUGGCCGUCGAUUUGACCAAAGGUGAACCAUCUGGUUUGAUAUCUCUCUGGCUGAAAAUUCUGGCAUCUUGAGCUUUUCUAACCUCGGAUCUUUGUAUUUGCAAGAAAUUCCUGCAUUCCCAGCCUUUUUUGGAUGCUCUGUCUGUUUUGCAGAGACGAUCUCCCAUCCGUCCAACUCACUCUCGGUACAGCCCUUCUUCCCCUUGAGAACACCAUCGAGUGAUUUGUUUGUUGAUGUCAGCCAAUUCUCCUCUAGAAUAGAUCCUUUAUGCAACCUAGAUGCUUGGUCAUGCUGCAAUAAUACAUUGCACGAGAUCAAUUGUAAAGAGGGAAUAAGCGAGCCAUUCGCAUUUUUGCAGGAAUAACAAGGGGAGGAAUAGUGAAUCUUUGUUCCCUUGGUGGUCAAUCUUUUAUGGCAGCUUAAACUUUCGAGAAAAGAAAAAACAAAACAAUUUGUCUAACACGGUUAAUUAGUCAUUGCAUUCUGCUAGUCUUUUCUAUCUUGUCCUAAAGUACAAAAUGGGUGCCAUUAACUCAAACCACCCAAGUAAUUUUAUAAAAGCACGAAGUCAAAAAAAUUGAUACUUAGACACAAUGGGUGUAGAAGUUUCUUUUACCUUUGCUAUGGCUAUUGAUUCAUCCAAAGGAUUAUUUACUGAUUUAAUAUUUCUGGCUGCCAGAUCUUCCUUUCUAAGCUUUUCAAGUCUCGGUUGUUCACCUUUGCAGUAAUUUCUUACAUCCUCCAUAGCAUUUUUGUUCUGUAAGCUAGAUGUUUGGCCAUGGAGAGUUUCAAUUGUUGGUGUCUGCCAAUUCUCCACCAUAGCAUGAGCGUUAACUGAGCUGCAUGUUUGGCCAUACUGCAACCAACAUAUUGCUUGAGAUCAAUUGAACCAGAGGAGUCGACUAAGGCAUGAUUCUGGUCUUAUGACAAACAUUAGUGGUUUCAUUUCUAAAAUUGUCUGGAAGCUAUAUUACAUUAUGAUUUUCCGCUUCUUUGCAUGGUCUCGUUUGUUAUUUCAGGGCAUUAACAAGCAAAUCCCAAUAAGUACGUUUUGCAAAACUUACCAGUGGAGGAACCAUGGAAAUCUUUGUGCAGUCAGUGAUUGUUCUUCUCAAGUCAGGCAUUGAAUUUGGUUUCUCUAUGGCUGGUUCAAUUCCUUUGUUGUGAUUGUUCUGGGGUGAUUUUGAUGCAGCACGGUGCUCUCUGCUUUCUCCUACCUGCCAAUGUUUGCAAAACAUUCUAUCUUAUAUGCUUAUACAGAAGCAAAUAAUUAAAUCAACUGGGGACUCUUGAAACUCGGAAUUGUCCUACUCUUUUCUUUUGAAUUUCGCUAAGAAUAUGAAAACCUUGCCAUUAACUUUAACAGAAAACUCAAUGCAGAAAAUCCUAACUUGAAAUUAAUAAUUAGACAUUAUGAGUGAAUUUAGAAGCUUGUUUCACCUUUGCUUUGGCUUCUAAUUCAUCCAGAGUUACACAUUCUGGUUUGAUAUUUCUGGCUCCAAGUUCUAGCUUCUCCACCUUUUCAACCCUUGAUUCUUCAUCAGUGCUGUAAGUUCUUGCAAUUUCAGGCUUUUUUGGAGGCUCCAUAUGCUUCGGGGAGGAGAUAUGUAACCCAUUGAACUUAUGUUCAAUGAACCCUUUCUUUUCAUCUAGUGAAACUACACCAUGGAGUGAUUUGAUCAUUUUUGCUCUCUGACUCUUCCUCAGAACAGCAUGUUCAUCAUCUGGGCUACAUUUUGGGCCAUACUGCAAUGCAGGAGAUGAAACACAUCGAAGGAAAAUGAAUGGCUGAGGCAUAAUCUUAAACAGUAAAGCUCAUGAUGAACAUCCAAAUUUUCAUUUGAAAUGUGUCUGGAAGCUGUAUUAUAUGUUGAUAUGUUCCGCUUCACUUCUCUGAUGUGAUAUUAUUUAAUCUGGCAAUAUUUUUCUUUGGCAGUUUUUUUGCCAUUCUGGUACAUAUCCAAUUGAAGGCUAAUAGGGCAUGAGGAAUUUCCCUAAAAUCUCUCUUUUCUAUGUAUGUAUUUCUUCCCUAAAUAUAAUAAAGGUGAACAAGCUGUAUAACCAACGGAAACUUCAGGAAUAGAAUUUUGACCUGUGUUUGAAUUUGAUCUCUGUCAAUGAAGUCAACUUGCAACUCGUCGGAUUCAUCAAUAUAAACAACUAAAUCAUCAUCUGCAAGACUUCCAAAAUUUCUAACAUGUAAGUCGGUUUGGGAGUUGACAUUUUCUGAUUGGAAAGAAGUCUGCGGGAGAAUUGAUGUAAUGACUUGAACUCCAUUGUCCUGCUGAAGUGAGCUCUCCGUUCCUGAGCCUACCAGAAUCCAUUGCUGUUUUGACAAGUAAAUAGGUUAAUUAUGGACAUACUUCACAAAUCAUGUCCAUGAACAAAACAUUUUUUCGUUCUCACUUCUGGACAGGAGUUCUCAUGCUCAGGUUGACGAAGGUCUGACUGCAAGUCAACCAAGCUAAUUGAUGAGUUUUCCACUGCCUGAAUCAAAGGCUGUUUUCAAAAGUAAAAGAGGCUAGUUAUGGACAUGCUUCACAAAUUAUACCAUGAACAGAACAUUCUUUUCAUUCUCACUUCCGGAAAUAAGUUCUCAUGUUCAGGUUGAUGAAGGUUUGAAUCCAAGUCAUCCAAGCUAAUCGAUGAGUUUCCAACUGCCUCACUCCACGUCUGUUUUCAAAACAAGGAAGAUUAGUAUGGAACAUGCUUCACAAACUAUGCCCAUGAACAGAACAUUUUUUCAUUCUCACUUCCGGAAAUGAGUUAUUGUGUUCAGGUUGAUGAAGGCCUGAAUCCAAGUCCAUCGAGCUAAUGGCUCCACCAUUUAAUUGCUGGGCUGAAAAAUCAGACUCUUCAUUUCCUUGGUGCUUUAAGUGACAGACGAGGUAGUUCUUGGUCGGCUGUCAAACAAUCAUGUUGUUGGAAUCCAUAAGUCCUAAUCUUAUACUACUUAAAUUCCAGAACCCUACUCCAUUACAAACUUCGACAAUGGAAAAUGAGGAAGAACAGAAUGAUUGCUUUUGGCUAAUUGAAACUUUUGAAUUGGAUGGUUCUGCAGAUUAUUACAAUACUCAAAUGAAUGUAGUAAACCAGAAGAAAUAAACGAGGGACAGAUUGCAUACAGCACGUGGAAACAGUUCAUUGAGAUUGUUGGUCAGUAGAUGAUACUCGUGGAUGACCCAUUUUGUCCCGAUGCCCCUUUUGCCGUGACCCCUAUGAAAGACCAGUGUUUUCUUAGUACCAAUCUCUCUGUUCCUGUCUCCAGCCUUGAUAGUCCUAUCAAUACCAGUCUUCUUCCAAAAUCCCAACGGAGUCGAUCUUUGAAUUCGUGGCGUUUGUGGACAGAAGAACCACCACUCUUGAACUUUGUCAUCAGGAGGAACGAUUGAUUUCUCUGUCAAGUACAAUUUGAAUCUAAUUAAUGAUGAACUUAUCCCUUUCUUUUCCUACGGCCGAAACAUGCAUAUCUUAUACAGUGAACUGUACACAGUCAAACUUCGAUUCCAUCAGCAAAUUCCGCAAAAUAUUCACUGAUUCAUAGACUAUUUUACCGCAAUCGUCACAGAACUCUAGGACAACAUGAUGCCACGUUUAUAAGUACUAGAUAUCCAUUACGAUGCCAUAACUGGCCAAAAACGGACAGGAAAAAAUGAUAGCAGCGUCUCGUUCUUUACCCUCAAAUAUUUUUGGUAAUUCCCAAGGCUCCCACUUGCAGAUAUCGACCUCGGGAAUGAUGCAGAUGUUGCCUCUGGAUCCGAGCACUUUCAGCUUCAAGUAAUGAUCGACCAAUUCCUCAUCGGUCGGGUGGAACCUGUAGCCGAUCGGCAGAUUCUUUGGGAUGAUCACAGUUGCCAUCUUCUUCUACUUCUGUUACUUCCCUCGCGCGAGGGCGAAUUUACCAAAGUUCUGGGAAAACAGAAUGAACGAGCUUCAAGGCCUCGCGCUUUAAGUCUUCAUCAAAGUCUUUCCCUUCUCUGAGAAGUUGCCUUACGUCAUUUUUUUUUCUGCAUUUUUGGGUUUGCCGGUGGAAUUCCACCCUAUCGCUUAAGGACUAUUCAAAGAUUCUCCUAUCGCUCUCAAAUGUCACGCUAUCCACUAACACUCUGUCCUAACUUUCUGCAUCACGUAGAAAGCCUUUGUCAUUUAUUUUCUCUUUAUUGACAAAAGUAUAAACAAUGUAAUUAUAAUACCUUGACCAAGUCAAGAGUGGUCCCAGAGAAAAAAGAAAGAAAGGAUAAGAAAAGAAAUAGCUUGAAAAGUCUUAAAAAAAGGGAAAAAUUGGUGCGUUGAGGUGUCAUUUUAAAGAAAAAUAACGAUAUUUUCUGGUGUUGGCUCAAAUGGGUUGGAAAUUCUUUCUCACCCUUCGGUACGGAAAUGGCUUUUUGCCUAAUGGAUUUUGCUUCCAAAUGACUUGCUAGGCUGAUGGUGGUUCUUGAGAUCUAGUUUACUUACUUUUCCUGGUCCAGUUCACAAUUUCCCAUUCCUCUUCUUCUCCUCCUCUGCUUCCCUCUUUUCUUCUUCCUUCCUGUUUAUGUUGCGGCACUGUGAAGUCCAACGCCUCAAAUCCAGUCGCAACCCAACAACGGUGGUCACGGGAUUAGCUUAGAAGUCGAUCUUGAUCUCUAAGGUGAUUUCGACGUAUUAGCCUUAUAAGUGUAGAUCUUUGAUAUUAGGUACGUCUGAAGAGGAAUAAAGCAUUUCACGUUGAUAGUUGGUUCAUACCUCCUUUGAAUUAGGGCUCCGACUAUAGCCCCCGUCGCGGAUAUAUCCACAAGAUGAGAUAUCGAAUGCUUGCUACUCAUCCCAAUAUUGACUAGCUAUAGCCAUAAGUAGCUGACCAUGAGUAGUAGUAUGCUUGAUGGGCGUGUGCUGAUCAUAGACCACGGGCUCCUACAUGGGCCACACUUCAGUUGUUGACAUUCAUCUAAUUUGGUAGGUGACAUGCGUCGACAAGAAUUUCAUGUCGCGUGCAUCAUAUUUGCCAAUUCUCUUCCUUCAACAUGUCUUGACCUGACAAAAAUUUCACUUUUGCUCAUUGUUAUUUACUUAGCUUCGGCUUGGUUUGUUAAAAAUUAGUGCUUUUGAAAAACAUUUUCAGAGAACUCAUUUUUUAUAAAAAUAACAAUAUUUAUAGUGUUCGCAUGAAAUUGAGUUGGAAAUCAUUUCUCACCCUUUUUCAUGGAAAAUGGCUUUUUGCUUAUGGAUUUUCAUUCCAAAUGACUCUCACUAGACUGAUGGUGGGUUUUGAGAUUUGUCACACCCCAAAACCAACAAGGGGUAUGACAACAUGAGAAACUUUUAAUCCAACUAUUUAAUAUACAUAUAUAAUCAUAUAUGUGUUAUUUCAUUUCAACAAAUUUUAUUCAAUUUUGACAAUGCUCAUUUAAAUCAUCCUCACAAUUCAAGCAUCAAUGAUCAAAUUUAUUGAUUAAUCUCUAAUCAAAAACCAUAUAAAUGGUCUAUUCAUAAUCCAUCUUAUAUCAAAAUAUACGCCGAUGGUCUAUCCAUUAAAUAAUCUUUUACUUAAUAGCAAACCAUGAUCACGACAGUGACAACACAACACCUACUGACAAGGCAAUCAAGAUUCUUUCCUUGGUAAGGUCUCCACUUACAAAUUCAAUGGCUUGACCCAAAAAGAUAUCUUAAACCUGGUAUGCAUACCCACAAGCCUAUCAAUGGACCAACAUCGAUAUUGAACACCAAACCUACAUCCUCCAAUAUCUAGAAAUACAAUCCAUAAAUUAAUCUCAUAAUCCACAUUACAUUUCACAAACCAAUCAUAUAACCUUUGUAAUUCAAUUCAUCUGAAAUUAAUAGUUUUUUUGUAAAGCAUUUACAUAUUAUUUCAUAAACCGAAUUCACAAAUUGAUAUGUACAACCUUUUGUAAUGUUUUUUCAUAAAAUGCUUCUUCAAUUAUCUUAUAACUCAUUCCAUAAAACAAUUCGCAAAGCUAUACAUAUAUAUUAUUUCACAAUACCUUUCAUAAAACCACUCUCGAAUCAUUCUCAAAUAUUAAAAGGUGGUAAUUGUCUAAUCUAGACUUUUAAACAAUAAACAUGCUUGAUUACUCGUAAGAUACUUAAAUAUUUAUCUCUUUCAAGACAUGAGUUUACAAAUCCAUAAAAGAGAUAGCAUUACUCAUUUGGAUGUGCCCUUAACCAAAUAACAAGGCACAAUCAAAUUAACGAACUCUCAAUCCUAUCAUAUAAGCAAGAAAUAACAUCAAAACUAAGUGAAACACUAUAUCAAUUAUGGCACGGCUAAACUAAGCCUAAAUGCCAAUAAAAUAACUCUCACGCAUCAACAAAUUGCUUACUUGAAGCAAUUAUUCAAAUCUAAAUGUAAUGUAAAACUUGCUCACAAACUCUAAAAUUUCGUUUCGACAAAACCAUUGCUUCNNNNNNNNNNNNNNNNNNNNNNNNNNNNNNNNNNNNNNNNNNNNNNNNNNNNNNNNNNNNNNNNNNNNNNNNNNNNNNNNNNNNNNNNNNNNNNNNNNNNAAAAAUUGGAUUAUACAAGCUCAAGUUCCCAAAAUUCCGAUUUCAAGCCCUAAACUCAAAACUAUUUGUGACAUCUGAAUUUUUGUCAACGUUUUAAAUAUCCAUUUAUUUGCAAAAAUAUAAAAAUUUAUAUUAAAAAAAAGAGUAAUAAAUGAUAUAAAAAAAUGAUGAAGUCGUGUGGGCCGUUAUGUCCGGCCCACUUAGCGACUUUCAGCCCUCUAAGGGUGCAUUUGAUCAGUAUUCCCAAAGGGCUUUCAGCCUCUAAAGCCCUUUAAGAAAAUGCUGGAUCGUUUGGCAGUCAUUUUGAAAUAACUUUUAAGUGAAAGUCAGUAUUGGAAAAUCUAAAAGCCCAAUGCUAAUAGGAACUAGUUUUGAGUUUUCAAUAUUUUGCCAAAUGCUUAAACUUAUUUUUUUAUUCCAAAAUUAUCUUUACUCAUUCUUCAAAUUUUUUAUUCUGCCAUCAUUAUUAUUUUUAAAAAUACCAAAUAAUGCUAAAAAAAAUCACACACACACACACACACACACACACACACACAAAUUCUAAAACAAUUAAAUAUAUUAGGUCUUCUAAAAAUAUUAUUUAUAUAUUUGAUUUUUUUAGCAUAUGUAUUUGAUUUUUUUUAGUAUUAUUGUCAAAAUUUAUAUUUAAAAAGUUGCAUACAUUAUUUUUUUCAAUUCUAAACAAAUAAAAAUUAAAAAAUUCCAACGAAGAGUUUGCUUUUUAGCAUUAUUCUCAAAUUUAUAUUUAAAAAGUUACAUACAUUAUUUUUUCAAUUUUAAACAAAUAAAAGUUAAAAAAAUUUGAUGAAGGAUUUGAUCUUUUUUUUUUAAUUAUAUAUGUAUUUGAUUUUUUUAGCAUUAUUGUGAAAAUUUAUAUUUAAAAAGUUGCAUGCAUCAUUUUUUUUUUCAAUUUUAAGAAAAUAAAAAUUAAAAAAUUCCGAUGAAGGGUUUGGUCUUUUAAAAAAAAAAUUAUAUAUGUGUUUGAUUUUUUUUAGUAUUAUUGUCAAAAUUUAUAUUUAAAAAGUUGCAUACAUCAUUUUUUUCAAUUUUAAAAAAAUAAAAAUAAAAUAUAUAUAAUAUUAAUUAUCCAUAGAGCUUUUCAAAUGUAUUUUCUACCAAAUAGCAUUUCUCUCAAAGACACUUCUCAAAGCAUAAUUUAUCAAACGACUUUUGUAUUUGCCUAAAGUGCUUUAAGCUAAACUGUUUUGUAUUUUCCUAAUAAGCUUUCAAAAUGUUGAACCAAACGCAUCCCAAGCCUGUUCGCCUCUCUUAUCUUUAUUUCUUUCUUGGAAAAAAGUCUUAAAUGGUCCCUAGAUUUCUACUUCAUGUGUAAUCUCGUCUCUGAGCUUUCAAUUUGCUCAAUUUGCUCAUUGAACUAUCGAUAAAUGUCUGAUCUAGUCUCAACUAUUUGAAAAUUGACAAAUUUCGCCAUUUCGUUAGUUAAAGUUAAUAGAAUUGGACAUUUUUGGUCUUUUUUUUUCUUUUUUUUUUCUUCUUCUCUCUUCCCUCCGCUGACCAUGGCGAAGCCAGCAGAGGGAAGAGAGAAGAAGAAAAAAGAAGAAGAAAAAGACCAAAAUGCCCAAUUCUGUUAACUUUAACUAAUGGAAUGACGAAAUUGGUCAAUUUUUAAAUAGUUUGGAUUAGAUUUGAUAUUUAUUGAUAGUUUAGGGACCAAAUUGAGCAAAUCGAAAACUCAGGGAUGAGAUUACACAUUAAGUAGAAGUCCACCAUUUGUGACAUUUUCCCUUCAUUUAUAUACGUUUAUAAUGAUAUGCCAUUUAUAUUUAAAAAAUGUACAUGAUAUGAUGUGAAUAUAUCUAACUUUAAUACUGUGACUCAUCAAACAAUGAAUAUGAUAUAAAAGAAUCUCAAAAUUUUAUAUCCUAUCCUAUCUAAUCCUAUCUCGAUUAGAAAUCCGGACGACCAAAUAUAGCUUAUGAGAGAAUGUCUUGGGAAUGUGGGGCUAAAGGAAAAGGGUAAGUGGGGUGAGUUGGAUUAAUUGGGUUGGGUUUGAUUUGGUCUCAUGGGUUGGAAUUUGAGUGGACUGCUUUAAUCUUCAUGGGCCAAUUGGGGAUCAAUUCAAAGUGGGCCUUGGUGCAUUUUUUGCCCAGCCCGCAUCGAUAGGGUCCAAGUUGGUUUGGUUGGGUUGGGUCUCCUAGCCCGGUCCGAAUUUCUUUUAUAUUAAUAUUAAAAAUACUAAUAUUAAUAAAUAAAUUAAAUAAAUUUUAAAAUUCGGAAAAACGUUAAAAUAUUUGAAAAAUAAAGAAUUCAUGAAAAUUUAUAAAAUUCCGAAAACUAUUAAACGAAUUUAGAAAAUUUAUAAAAUCAUUAAAAAUCAGAAAAUCCAUAAAAUAACAGAAAAUUAGAAAAAUCAUUAAAAAUUCAGAAAAUCCUAAGGAAAAAAAUCAGAAAUUUUAGAAAAAAAGGAAAAUCCUUUAAAAGUAUUAAAACCCAAAAUUUAGACAAGCCUUUAGAGCUUUACAAUAGGAUUCUUUAUUUUGGAUUAUCCUUUUUUCCGGAUUAUUUUAGGAUGCUUGUGUGUGUGUGUGUGUGUGUGUGUGUGUGUGUGUGUGUGUUUGUGUGUGUGUGUGUGUGUGUGAUUAUACAUGGUUGCCCUUUUCAAUAUCUUGGAUGUCAUAUUCGUUGUUUUAGAAUGGUCAGAACAAAACCUAAAAUUCUUCGAGCGUUAAUCUUAGGACUAAUGUAAUCAAGUUUUAAGUCUAGAAUCUUUAGUUGCACAAAUAAUAAGAUAUUUUCCUAGGGGUCUAGUCGACACCAAAAUUCUAGUGGCCACUUUUUAGUCAAAUUUCUUCAAAGUGAAUAAAAAUUUGAAAAUAUGCAAGGUAUGAACUUGGGAGAUCCUGUGUCAAUGAAAGGCUGUCAAUCCAAAAUUAAUAACACCUCUAAUCUAAAACUCUUUCCCAGAAGUGUAAGGGUGCGGCACUACUUUUAACUAGAUGAACAAGGGGCANNNNNNNNNNNNNNNNNNNNNNNNNNNNNNNNNNNNNNNNNNNNNNNNNNNNNNNNNNNNNNNNNNNNNNNNNNNNNNNNNNNNNNNNNNNNNNNNNNNNNNNNNNNNNNNNNNNNNNNNNNNNNNNNNNNNNNNNNNNNNNNNNNNACUACCCGCGGGCCACUCUAAGGGCGUGCAUGACAAAAUUUAUAUUUUUUCGAUAUCUUUGUUUCUCUGUUCCCCGGAAUAAGUUUGGAACAUAAAUCCGUUUGAUAACGCAAUUUGAUUUCUCUAUUUCUGAAACAGAUUUCUAUUUCAGAAAUAGAGAAAUUGAAGAAAUCAGAAGCUGGAAUGUUUAACUUCUCAGUUUCUGAAAUAGAAAUCAGAAACUAAAAUCAAACCAUAUAAAAAAAUCUUGCACUUUCUUGCUAACUUAAUUCACUCAUAAACACAACUUCACAAAUUAUUGCUAAUUUUCUUUUUCUUAUUUUGCUCGUUUUUUUUUUUGCAUUUUUUUUCAAUUUUUUUUUUUUUAUAACUUCCUCUUUAUAUAUGAAAGGAAAUUGAAUGGGUCCCCAAUUUUCAAAAACGACCAAAGUUCUUAAAUGCUUACUUAAAAACAAUGGGGCUCGUUCCUCCUAGAAAAGGUACGCGCAUGGUUAGUUGAAGAAAAUUUUUUUACGUAAUAGAUGAAUAAAAAACGUGUCUAUAAAUUUAACCUUAUUCUUUUACAAAUUCAAGAUUCUUGCAAAAUCAAAAUAAUUAAAUUGUUACACAAUCUUGAAUUUUAAUUUAAAGGCAAGACAUUCAAGAGAAUCUCUCUCUUUGCUAUGCAAGGGCCAUUAAAGGUUUAUUGAGCAAUAAUAAAGAAAUUAGGGAUGAACAACUGGAUUGAUUCAAUUCGAGAAUCAAAAUAAACCGACCUUCCCCCAAUUGGUUCCUAAUCAUAAACAUUACUUUAAGGUAGAAUUAUCAUAUAUUCCUUUACACCAUUAAUUUUAUUUUAUUGAUAAUCUUGUAUAAUACUAGUUUUUGAUAAAAUGACAAGGCUGUAUAUGCGUCAUUGAUGGCACCCAUAUUCAUGCUUCCGUAGUACCUGUCUGAACCUAUGCAAGAUAGGCUUGCAAAUGAUACAUUGACCGAGGAGGGAAACCAAAUAAAUACGCUUAGAAAAACAAUUGCUAAUAAAAUGGCAAGGGAUAAUAAUAUGCCGGAAAUUCCAUGAAAUUGUAUUUUCAACUUUUGUAAUGUAUUAGUAUUAUUUCGAUUAUUAUUUUGUAUUUGAGGAUUUCCCAUGUUGUUUUAGUAUUAUUUUGACUAUUAUUUUGUAUUUGAGGAUUUUCUAUGUUGUUAUCUAAUCAAUUUCUAUUCCUAGAAAUAGAAAUUUGAGUUGUUAUCAAACGGAUUUCUUUGCUUAGAAACUUGUCCGAGGAAUAGAAAUUAAGAAAUUGAUUUCUGGCUAGAAAUCAAUUUCUGUUUCAAAAAUUUUGUCAUGCGCAGCCCAAGUGAGAGAAUUCUCGCUUUAUGCCAUUUUCCCAUUUUUUUUAACUUUUCAACCCCUUUUUAUUUCUUUUCUUUUUUAAAUAGAAAAAGGUACCUCCUCUUUGACUUGGUCAAAGAAAAUGUCCCGCUAUUACAAGAUCUAGUUUACUUAGGAUGCGCAUGAAAACUAUUAUAUUCCAGAAAUAGUUUUGAAACAAAAAUAGAUUUUUUUAUUUUUAUUUUUAAAAGAGUUUCUAAGCAAAAAUAACUGUUUGAUAACGACACAAAAUUUCUACUCUAAAAAUAGAAAUUCGUUUGAUAACGACAUAAAAUUUAUUCUUUUUGGAUGGUGGCAGACCACCCGCGGUGGCAACUGGCGACCGGCGACAGCGACAAAUUCUCAUUUCUGUUCUAGAAAUAGAAAGUAUAAAAUUUUUACUUUUGAUUUCUACUCAAAAUCUAUUUCUGGAACAAAAAUUUAUUUCAGAAAUAGAAAAAUGAAAUAAUUUUACCAAAUGAAUUUCUAUUCCAAAAUUGUUUCUGGAAUAGAAAAAUUAUUUCUGGAACAUUUUUUUUUUAUCAUACACCCCCUUACUUUUCCUGGUCCAGCUCACGAUUUCCCAUUUUCCUCUUUCUUUGUUCCUCUUCUUCUUCCCUCUUUCUUCUUCCUUCCUGUUUAUUUUGCGGCUCGGUGAAGUCCAGCGCCUCAAAUCCAGUCGCAACCCAACGACGAUGGCCACGGGAUUUGCUUGGAUGGUUGUUUUCCAGCAAUGUCUGAGGCGGUAAAAGGUUCUUGGUGUUGGUUCAUGGCCUUUGGCAUCGCGGUCGGUGGUGGCCAUGGAUUCUUGAUGUGGUUCCAAGUGAUGGUCAUUGUGGCGGCGGCGUGACGGAUGGUGGACUGCAGCAGACGAUGAUGGCAGUCGAAACAAUCCAGGUAGUGCGAAAAAUGGAAAAUCCCACGGUGGCGGCAGCUUGUUUCUUUCAUUUACGGUGGACGCUGGUUGUGGAUGAAGGAGAAGAUGGUGAUGACGGUAUGUGAGUAUGGUGGUUCAAUGAUGAGUGGCAGCCGGCGAUGGUGACGGUGCGGUGGUGGCAUUGUGUGUUUAAUGUUUACAGAGAAGACAGACGGUGGUGAACGAUGGUGUGCUGCCAUGGGAGAAGUGGCAGCGCUUCAGCCUGUUUAGAGAGUUGACAAUCGCGUUAGGUGCAAUUUGAUCUGCACAUGGUGCGCAUAGCUGAGAUGCAGAAUUUAUCCUCAUCCAUAAAUGAAGUUUGAAGAAAGAAAAAUAUGCUUCAACACGUUUCGAUUUGGAAAAGAAAAGAAAAGAAAAUUUAAUGCAAUGACGGAGGUUUGCAGAUUGAGAACACUUUCAGAAGAAGCUUCUCAGUUUGGUUUUUCACUUCCGAACCGGUGAACGCUUUUAGCAAGAGUCUUUAUUCCAUUACAGAUAAGUACAAGGCAUGGCAAUCCAAGUGAAGAUAAGCUACAAGUGAUCCUAUAUACACAAAUUAAUCGAGAGGCUUGUAUCACCAAGGCAUGAAUCUUUUGGUGAUUUUGAAGGCUGAAGAAUUGGCACUAAUCUUUGCGUGGUUGCUUGUUGAUCCAGCCGAUGGAGUAGCUGAAAUUGAUAUCUCUCUGGCUGGUUCAGUCUCCUCCCUGUGCUCAUUGCUUUCUCCUCUGUGACUAUAUUGUAUCACUCUAAAACCUUA
rnacentral:lncRNA from 1 species